rnacentral:misc_RNA from 1 species
GUAACGGCGAGUGAAGCGGCAACAGCUCAAAUUUGAAAUCUGGCUCCUUCGGGGCCCGAGUUGUAAUUUGCAGAGGAUGCGUCGGGUACGGGUGCCUUCCGAGUUUCCUGGAACGGGACGCCAUAGAGGGUGAGAGCCCCGUCUGGUAGGACACCCAGCCCGUGUGACGCUCCCUCGACGAGUCGAGUAGUUUGGGAAUGCUGCUCUAACGGGAGGUAUACUCCUUCCAAGGCUAAAUACCGGCUGGAGACCGAUAGCGCACAAGUAGAGUGAUCGAAAGAUGAAAAGCACUUUGAAAAGAGAGUCAAACAGCACGUGAAAUUGUUAAAAGGGAAGCGCUCGCUACCAGACUUGGGUUCGGCGGUUCAACCGGGGCCACGCCCCGGGGCAUUCCGCCGGCCCAGGCCAGCAUCAGCUUUCCGUCGGGGGUAAAGGCGUCGGGAAUGUGGCUCCCCUUCGGGGGAGUGUUAUAGCCCGUCGUGUCAUACCCUUCGGGGGGCUGAGGUACGCGCUUCUGCAAGGAUGCUGGCGUAAUGGUAGCUAGUGACCCGUCUUGAAACACGGACCAAGGAGUCAACCUUAUGUGCGAGUGCCCGGGCGUAAAACCCCAGCGCGGAAUGAAAGUGAACGUAGGUGAGAGCUUCGGCGCAUCACCGACCGAUCCUGAUGUCCUCGGACGGAUUUGAGUGAGAGCAUAUAGGGUUGGACCCGAAAGAAGAUGAACUAUGCGUGUGUAGGGUGAAGCCAGAGGAAACUCUGGUGGAGGCUCGCAGCGGUUCUGACGUGCAAAUCG